rnacentral:rRNA from 1 species
GACGAACGCUGGCGGCGUGCCUAAUACAUGCAAGUUGAGCGCUGAAGGUUGGUACUUGUACCAACUGGAUGAGCAGCGAACGGGUGAGUAACGCGUGGGGAAUCUGCCUUUGAGCGGGGGACAACAUUUGGAAACGAAUGCUAAUACCGCAUAAAAACUUUAAACACAAGUUUUAAGUUUGAAAGAUGCAAUUGCAUCACUCAAAGAUGAUCCCGCGUUGUAUUAGCUAGUUGGUGAGGUAAAGGCUCACCAAGGCGAUGAUACAUAGCCGACCUGAGAGGGUGAUCGGCCACAUUGGGACUGAGACACGGCCCAAACUCCUGCGGGAGGCAGCAGUAGGGAAUCUUCGGCAAUGGACGAAAGUCUGACCGAGCAACGCCGCGUGAGUGAAGAAGGUUGUCGGAUCGUAAAACUCUGUUGGUAGAGAAGAACGUUGGUGAGAGUGGAAAGCUCAUCAAGUGACGGUAACUACCCAGAAAGGGACGGCUAACUACGUG